UACGUAGGGGACAAGCGUUGUCUGGAUUUACUGGGCGUAAAGAGCGCGCAGGCGGUCGAUCAAGUCGGGUGUGAAAGCCCCCGGCUCAACUGGGGAGGGUCAUUCGAUACUGAUCGACUUGAAGGCAGGAGAGGGAAGUGGAAUUCCCGGUGUAGUGGUGAAAUGCGUAGAUAUCGGGAGGAACACCAGUGGCGAAGGCGACUUCCUGGCCUGUUCUUGACGCUGAGGCGCGAAAGCUAGGGGAGCAAACGGG
rnacentral:rRNA from 1 species